rnacentral:rRNA from 1 species
AGUGAACGCUGGCGGUAGGCCUAACACAUGCGAGUCGAACGGCAGCACAGUAAGAGCUUGCUCUUACGGGUGGCGAGUGGCGGACGGGUGAGGAAUACAUCGGAAUCUACUUUUUCGUGGGGGAUAACGUAGGGAAACUUACGCUAAUACCGCAUACGACCUACGGGUGAAAGCAGGGGAUCUUCGGACCUUGCGCGAUUGAAUGAGCCGAUGUCGGAUUAGCUAGUUGGCGGGGUAAAGGCCCACCAAGGCGACGAUCCGUAGCUGGUCUGAGAGGAUGAUCAGCCACACUGGAACUGAGACACGGUCCAGACUCCUACGGGAGGCAGCAGUGGGGAAUAUUGGACAAUGGGCGCAAGCCUGAUCCAGCCAUACCGCGUGGGUGAAGAAGGCCUUCGGGUUGUAAAGUCCUUUUGUUGGGAAAGAAAAGCAGCAGGUUAAUACCCCGCUGUUCUGACGGUACCCAAAGAAUAAGCACCGGCUAACUUCGUG